GCCAGCAGCCAUAUCACCCUGCAACUCCCAGCUCACAGCCCACUGGAGCUCAGCAGUGUGAGCCUGGUCAGUACCUGGAGGGGAGACUCCUGGGAAAGCUGAGGCUGCUGCUGGAA
rnacentral:rRNA from 1 species